AUUGAACGCUGGCGGCAUGCUUUACACAUGCAAGUCGAACGGUAACAGGCCGCAAGGUGCUGACGAGUGGCGAACGGGUGAGUAAUGCAUCGGAACGUGCCCAGUCGUGGGGGAUAACGCAGCGAAAGCUGCGCUAAUACCGCAUACGAUCUAUGGAUGAAAGCGGGGGACCGUAAGGCCUCGCGCGAUUGGAGCGGCCGAUGUCAGAUUAGGUAGUUGGUGGGGUAAAGGCUCACCAAGCCAAAGAUCUGUAGCUGGUCUGAGAGGACGACCGGCCACACUGGGACUGAGACACGGCCCAGACUCCUACGGGAGGCAGCAGUGGGGAAUUUUGGACAAUGGGCGCAAGCCUGAUCCAGCAAUGCCGCGUGCAGGAAGAAGGCCUUCGGGUUGUAAACUGCUUUUGUACGGAACGAAACGGUCCUGGUUAAUACCUGGGGCUAAUGACGGUGCCGUAAGAAUAAGCACCGGCUAACUACGUGCCAGCCGCCGCCGUAACAC
rnacentral:rRNA from 1 species